rnacentral:rRNA from 1 species
CCCAACUGCGGUCUUUGCCCCCUUUGCAAGCAAAGUCAGGAAUCGGCAGCCCACCUACUGUUUGAAUGUCAUUUCACACUUCGCGUGUGGAAUGAUAUUCUCUAGUGGCUCGGCUCGCAGCACAUCAAUACCGCUGCUUGGACGACGAGGGUCUCGGUGAGGGAAUGGUGGACAGGAAACAUUCAUAUGCGUAGCGAAUCCCCCAAGGCGCUUGCUUCACUAAUGAUGCUCAUCUCCUGGGAGAUUUGGUCAGAGCGCAAUGCUAGAAUUUUCCGCAACACGGCCGCUCCUUUGGUGGUCCUCGUUAGAAGAUUAAAGAGGAGUUGUCUCUUUGGGCUUUGGUGGGCGCCAAGCACUUGA